rnacentral:rRNA from 1 species
UACGUAGGGUGCAAGCGUUAAUCGGAAUUACUGGGCGUAAAGCGUGCGCAGGCGGUUAUGUAAGACAGGUGUGAAAUCCCCGGGCUUAACCUGGGAACUGCAUUUGUGACUGCAUAGCUAGAGUACGGUAGAGGGGGAUGGAAUUCCGCGUGUAGCAGUGAAAUGCGUAGAUAUGCGGAGGAACACCGAUGGCGAAGGCAAUCCCCCGGACCUGUACUGACGCUCAUGCACGAAAGCGUGGGGAGCAAACAGG